rnacentral:lncRNA from 1 species
AUGUCGAACUAGAAUGCCCUUAAUUGAGGAAGUGAAAACUCCUUUGAAAAGCUUCUAUCUGACAGGAGGAAGUACUCAACUAGUGAAUGAAAGGAAAGAUGACGCCCAGGCGAAGUCAACUUAUUCAAGAGUCCUCUUUAAUUCAGGUAACUAAUUAAGCGCAUCUAUCUACCAGCAAAGACAGGUUAGAAUGGUAAUCUAUGCUAGGAGUGCCCCUUACCUUAAACCUUAAGUAGCUCACUGAAGGAAGUGUGAAAGUAAGCAAGCAAAGUCUC